AUACGGAGGGUGCAAGCGUUAAUCGGAAUUACUGGGCGUAAAGCGUGCGUAGGCGGUUUAUUAAGUCAGAUGUGAAAGCCCCGGGCUUAACCUGGGAACUGCAUUUGAUACUGGUAGACUAGAGUAUGGUAGAGGGGGGUAGAAUUCCUAGUGUAGCGGUGAAAUGCGUAGAUAUUAGGAGGAGUACCAGUGGCGAAGGCGGCCCCCUGGACCAAUACUGACGCUGAGGUACGAAAGCGUGGGGAGCGAACAGGAUUAGAUACCCCGGUAGUCC
rnacentral:rRNA from 1 species